UACGUAGGGUGCAAGCGUUGUCCGGAAUUAUUGGGCGUAAAGAGCUUGUAGGCGGUUUGUCGCGUCUGCUGUGAAAUUUCGGGGCUCAACCCCGAACUUGCAGUGGGUACGGGCAGACUAGAGUGUGGUAGGGGAGACUGGAAUUCCUGGUGUAGCGGUGAAAUGCGCAGAUAUCAGGAGGAACACCGGUGGCGAAGGCGGGUCUCUGGGCAGUAACUGACGCUGAGGAGCGAAAGCGUGGGGAGCAAACAGG
rnacentral:rRNA from 1 species